rnacentral:rRNA from 1 species
GGCGGCCUUAGCGCGGUGGUCCCACCUGACCCCAUGCCGAACUCAGAAGUGAAACGCCGUAGCGCCAAUGGUAGUGUGGGGUCUCCCCAUGCGAGAGUAGGGAACUGCCAGGC